UUUGUGCCAUCAAGCAGGGAAACAAGCCUCAAGGAGUCUGCUCUCACCUCUUUUCCUCUGUGGUGGCCAGGCAUUCAAUACGCAGGUACAAGGGAGGAAGUGUGGGGUGUGUGCACCACACACAUUUCCAUUUAGUAAAUUUGGUCUAAAUCCAGUGCUUAUUAGGCAUGACUCACUACUGGUGUGAGAAGUUACCUACAACAGAGUUGAAAAGCACGUAAUCCCCAGCAAUGCUUCCCUUGCUGAUGGUCAGUCCAUGUGACAGUGGUUAUACUGUGCUUACUUCAAAUUAAAAUACAUCUUCAUUUGCAGGGACAUUUCCUAGAAAGUUUCAAUUCGCAAUUCCAUAUCUUAGGAUUUUGCACACAAUUGUUUCACCAGGACACAAUUUAAAGGAGCCAUAAAACCUCCUUAAAUUACAAGAGUUCCUACUUUUCCUGUGUGUAGUGUUACUCUUUCAGCAGCACCAAAGAAUCUCACCAUAGACUCUAAAUAAGUAUCAGUGGUAAUGGCUGCUGUUUUAAUAGAAGCCUCCUAAAAAGCCAAAGGACACAUCUUUACUCUGGCAGCGCUGAAUGGAUGGAACGCUGAAGAGGAAAAAUGGGCUGGGAGGUACAGCAAGGAAGGUAUCUUGAAACGGCACAGCUCCUGCCACGGACCUACUGAGGACAGCCCUUCCUCUUGCCAGGAGCUGUGGAAAGGAGGGUGAUUUCUCUCAGCUGGCCUCCAGUUGCCUUGGCUGGUUUUAUUAUGACCAUCUGGCUGAUACCAAGGCACCAGCACACUCAUCUCUAACUACUGCACUCUUCGUGAGCCAAAUAGUAGCUGCCUUCAUUGUAUUACAAGGUAGCAAAGCUACCAGAAAGUGGAUUUGGGAGAAAUCCCUCUGGGUAAGAUGUCUGGAUUUGGGAACAUUCUAGCCCCAUGCUGCAGGAAUUGAUCGCUAUUGAUUGGUCCCCAAAGUAAUGCUCUGAGCCAGUUUCCUCUCCUGGGAGAAGGGCUGUGCCAGGGAUUUAACCAUGUUGUUUUAAAACCUAAUUAGCCAAAGAGCCCACCAAAACAUGUACAGAUGCCAUUUUGUGAUGGCACAUACAUGCCCUGCAUGGAAGAGCAACAUUAUCAGGGGAGGUGGCUACAGACCUUUUCUGCUGCAAAGGUACUUGUGUAAGAUACAAAUGAAGUAACAGAUUAAUCUGUGCAUCUUUAGUUUAUUACUGAGCCUCUCCAAAACAGGGAUAUGAUAAACUCUUUACAGACUGAAGAAUCAGGGACCAACAGUUAUUGCAGAGACUAACAAGAUAAAUAUAUUAUGUUGCUCAGACACAUAAACACUGUAAGUAUAGAUAUAAUACCAGCAUUUUUAAACAUUUCCCUUCAUUCACCAGCUCAAUAGGUACUUUUUAGUAAUAGUUAUGGCUUGAAUAUUAUGCAGUCACUAUCAUCCAUAAUGUAUUUUGAGGGCUAGGGGAGGUAAGGGAAGCAAAAACCCUGCAGAAUCACAUUAAAUUUCUCAUUUAGUUCUACUUACAUAUUCAUGAAUUCAUCAGCACCAGUGGUUUGAGAUCUUGCCACUCCUUAUCUCCUGGUUUCUGCCAUGUGUGCUUAGUGAGGCUUAGAAAGUGGACUUCUAUUUUCUUCUUCUCAACAGUCUAGAAGAGUUAUAUGGAGUCAUUAAUCAUGAAAAUCAGUAUCAUUCUAAACAUCAAACUUUGAUAAGAUGAUAAAUGACAUUCCUACUAUACGUCACAACUUGGUUCAUAUUUUGUACCUUCUUCAAAUCUGCUCAAGUAGAGUGUAAACCAGUGUCACAUCUAAUACAUUACAGCAAGAAUA